GAUAGAGGCCUACCAUGGUGGUAACGGGUAACGGGGUGUUAGGGCACGACACCGGAGAGGGAGCCUGAGAACCGGCUACCACAUCCAAGGAUGGCAGCAGGCGCGCAAAUUACCCAAUCCCGACACGGGGAGGUAGUGACAAUAAAUAACAAUACGGGGUUCUUUCGGAUCUCGUAAUUGGAAUGAGUACAAUUUAAAUCUCUUAACGAGGAACAAUUGGAGGGCAAGUCUGGUGCCAGCAGCCGCGGUAAUUCCAGCUCCAAUAGCGUAUAUUAAAGUUGUUGCAGUUAAAAAGCUCGUAGUUGAAUUUCGGGGUUAGUAGGUUGGUCAUGCCUCUGGUAUGUACUGGUCUCACUGAUUCCUCCUUCCUUAUGAACCGUAAUGCCAUUAAUUUGGUGUUGCGGGGAAUUUGGACUGUUACUUUGAAAAAAUUAGAGUGUUAAAGCAAGCUAACGCUUGAAUACAUUAGCAUGGAAUAAUGAAAUAGGACGUUCGAUCUUAUUUUGUUGGUUUCUAGGAUUGACGUAAUGAUUAAUAGGGAUAGUUGGGGGCAUUAGUAUUCAAUUGUCAGAGGUGAAAUUCUUGGAUUUAUUGAAGACUAACUACUGCGAAAGCAUUUGCCAAGGAUGUUUUCAUUAAUCAAGAACGAAAGUUAGGGGAUCGAAGACGAUCAGAUACCGUCGUAGUCUUAACCAUAAACUAUGCCGACUAGGGAUCGGAUGA
rnacentral:rRNA from 1 species